CCACCUCAAGCUCACGGCCGCCGCCUUCCAGCACGCACUGCCCGCCAUCAACGUGCACAAGGUCCUGGAAGGGCAGAGAGGGGGUCAGGAGGGUCCUGGAAGGGCAGUGGAGGGGAUUGGGUUGGGUUGGGUUGGGUUGGAAGGGUCCUUGAAGGUGACAGAACCACAGAGUGGAGUUAGGUUGGAAACGUCCUUGAAGAUCCCAGAAGCACAGAAUGGGGUUGGGUUGGAAGGGUCCUUGAAGGUCAGAGAACCACAGGAUGGGGUUGGGUUGGAAAGGUCCUUGAAGGUCAGAGAACCGCAGAAUUGAGUGGGUU
ensembl:lncRNA